rnacentral:rRNA from 1 species
UACGGAAGGCAGCAGGGGGAAUAUUGCACAAUGGGCGCAAGCCUGAUGCAGCCAUGCCGCGUGUAUGAAAAAGGCCUUCGGGUUGUAAAGUACUUUCAGUCGUGAGGAAGGUGUUAAGGUUAAUAACCUUAGCAAUUGACGUUAGCGACAGAAGAAGCACCGGCUAACUCCGUGCCAGCAGCCGCGGUAAUACGGAGGGUGCGAGCGUUAAUCGGAAUUACUGGGCGUAAAGGGCACGCAGGCGGUUAAUUAAGUUGGAUGUGAAAUCCCCGGGCUUAACCUGGGAAUGGCAUUCAAGACUGGUUAGCUAGAGUCUUGUAGAGGGGGUAGAAUUCCAUGUGUAGCGGUGAAAUGCGUAGAGAUGUGGAGGAUACCGGUGGCGAAGGCGGCCCCUGGACAAGACUGACGCUCAUGUGCGAAAGCGUGGGGAGCAAACGAGGAUUAGAUACCC